ensembl:lncRNA
CUCCCUAAACGAUGAUUCCUUUAGAACUCGACUUCAAUCACCCAUGGGCUACCCAGUAUCUGACUCAUAGUCAUACUCAAUAAAUAUUCAUCAUACUUACCUGUCUGGUCUGCAAAAUAGAGCCAUAACGAACACUUCAUAUGGGCUCCUUGGUGGUUCAGAAGAGUACUCAAGCAACUGCUUCAAAAACCAUAAAGCUCUGAGCAAUUCUAAGUUUCACUAUGAAAUUCAUCCUCCUUGGGAUUGCUUGUGCAAUUCUAGUAUGAGGACUCAUAUCUUUCUUCAGUUAAGAAAAAUCGAAGUAUUCUUGGCUGGAUUCCACUGAGACUGAUACUUGGAACUAAAUGAGCCACAACUGGGUAAGUCCAGAUUUUGCCCCAUAAUGUUUUCUAGCAUAACAAAAAACAAAACACCAAACAGUAGACACAAAGAUGGUAAAGGAAACAGGAGAGAGUGUUGUUUUUAAUGUCUGAAUAGCAAACUGAGUUUUUGUACCAAGUUUGUGUUAGUCAUUCAGUUUUGUCUGACUCUUUGUGACCCUAUGGACUAUAGCCCUCAAGAUUUCUCUGUCCAUGGAAUUCUCCAGGCAAGAAUACUAGAGUGAGUGUUCCUUUCUCCAGGGGAUCCUCCUGAUCCAGGGAUCUAACCUGCAUCUCCCGCAUUACAGGCAAAGUUUUUUUACCAUCUGAGCCACCAGGGAAGCCCAAGAGAUGAUGUGGUAGGAGGAGAGUCUUUUUGGACACCUUGGAUGCCCUAUUUUCAUCUGCUCAUGCUUCAGUUGGCCUUUUUAAUAAAAUAAGGAUACAUUUUGAAUUAUUAACUACAUUUCCAUGUUAUUUGAAAAAUUAAUAUGAAGAGUUAAGCUCUUUUGCUAAAAUUUAGUAUGAUUUAAAACUUGACCUCUCUAAGUCUCAAUUUCCCUUCAAAUAAGGCAAAGUAUAGAUUAUCUCUAAUACUGUGUCAGUUCUAAUAUGUCACAAGAUGAAGUUUAUGACUCUAUGGUUUAUUGGAUGUCAGAAAUUAAAGAUUAGAUGGGCUGACUGCUGCAAGCCAAUCUUCUAGUCCUGUCAGCUCUGUCUCCAUAACGUUUCUCAGAUCCAACUCCCUCUUUCCACUUAUAACAUCCAUCCUCAGUUCAUAAGUCAGUCUUCCCCUCUUUUCAGUUCUAGUCCACACACUUUUACCAGAACUAUCUUCCUUAUACUCAGCUUUUUAAAAAAAAUUUUAUUGGGGUUGCUUUAAAAUGUUGUGUUAGUUUCUACUAUAUAGCAAACUGAGAUCAAAUCCGUCAGUCCUCGUGGAAAUCAACCCCGAAUAUUCAUUGGAAGGGCUGUUGCUGAAGCUGAACCUCUAAUACUUUGGUCACCUGAUGUGAAGAGCCCACUCACUGGAAAAGACCCUGAUGCUGGGAAAGAUUGAAGGUAAAAGGAGAAGGGGGCAACAGAGGAUGAGAUGGUUACAUAGCGUCACCAACUCAAUGGACAUGAAUUUGAGCAAAUUUGGGGAGAUAGUGGAGGAAAGAGGAGCCUGGCAUGCUGUAGUCCGUGGGGCUGCAAAGAGUCGGACACUACUUAGUGACUGAACAAUAGAAACAAAGUGAAUCAGCUGUACACUUCUGUAUUUCACGUCUUUUUAGGAUUUCCCUCCCAUUUAGGUCACACAGAGCACUGACUAGUGUUCCCCGCUCUGUACAGUGGGUUCUCACUUGUUAUCUGCUUUAUACAUAGUAGUGUAUAUAUGUCAUUCCUAAUCUCCCAAUUCAUCCCUCCUCCCUC